UUCUUCUUAAAAAAAGUUUUAAUUUCUUUUAAGAUAAGUAGGUAGCUUUUAGGUGCUUUAAGGAUACCGUAUCCAAGAGAUAAAUGUCAAAAACUGCUUGGUAAAGUCACCACCACAUCAUCAGUCUCUCUGCCUGUCUGCACUGAUGGUCUUUGAUGCACUCUGGCCCCCAGAAACACAAACAGCAGAUCAAAUAACCCCAUGUUUUGACUCAAAACGACAGGCAGCUUAUCAAACUAUCAGAGCUUCUGAUUUAAUUGAAAUUUCACAGAUAACCCUAGACCUGAUUUUCAGAACGGGGCCUCAGCUACCAGAGGAAAUGCCAUUAUGACUGUGAUCAUGUUAGAGAAAAGAUUGUUCUAGCAGAACACAAGAUUGAGAUAAUGGCCAUGGCAGUGAGUGAGGAAGCUGGCCUAAAAGCAUGGGGCAAA